UACGUAGGGGGCAAGCGUUAUCCGGAUUUACUGGGUGUAAAGGGAGCGUAGAUGGCACGGCAAGCCAGAUGUGAAAGCCCGGGGCUCAACCCCGGGACUGCAUUUGGAACUGCUGAGCUAGAGUGUCGGAGAGGCAAGUGGAAUUCCUAGUGUAGCGGUGAAAUGCGUAGAUAUUAGGAGGAACACCAGUGGCGAAGGCGGCUUGCUGGACGAUGACUGACGUUGAGGCUCGAAAGCGUGGGGAGCAAACAGG
rnacentral:rRNA from 1 species